rnacentral:rRNA from 1 species
CUACGGGAGGCUGCAGUGAGGAAUAUUGUACAAUGGGGGGAACCCUGAUGCAGCAACGCCGCGUGGAGGAUGACGCAUUUCGGUGUGUAAACUCCUUUUAUAUGUCAAGAAAAUGACGGUAGCAUAUGAAUAAGCACCGGCUAACUCCGUGCCAGCAGCCGCGGUAAUACGGAGGGUGCAAGCGUUACUCGGAAUCACUGGGCGUAAAGGACGCGUAGGCGGGUUGGAAAGUCAGGUGUGAAAUCCUACAGCUUAACUGUAGAACUGCACUUGAAACUUCUAAUCUAGAGUAUGGGAGGGGGAGAUGGAAUUAGUGGUGUAGAGGUAACAUCCGUAGAUAUCACUAGGAAUACCUAAAGCGAAGGCGAUCUCCUGGAACAUUACUGACGCUAAGGCGUGAAAGCGUGGGGAGCAAACAGGAUUAGAUACCCCCGUAGUC